rnacentral:rRNA from 1 species
UACGUAGGGUGCGAGCGUUGUCCGGAAUUAUUGGGGCGUAAAGGGCUCGUAGGCGGUUUGUCGCGUCGGGAGUGAAAACGCCGUGCUUAACACGGCGCUUGCUUUCGAUACGGGCAGACUAGAGGUAUGCAGGGGAGAACGGAAUUCCUGGUGUAGCGGUGAAAUGCGCAGAUAUCAGGAGGAACACCGGUGGCGAAGGCGGUUCUCUGGGCAUUACCUGACGUGAGGAGCGAAAGCGUGGGGAGCGA